rnacentral:lncRNA from 1 species
CCAACUGGUGUCUGGGAGAUGAAGAAGAUACAUGAGGAGGAGUAAUAAUUCCAUACACUGCAAAACUAGCCCCAGACUUUAAUGUAGCUGACGGUUAAACCGAAAAUACCAGAACCUUUCUCAGGAGUGAAGGUGAUAGAAUUUUCUAGGUUCAAUCGAAGGUAACAUUUUACGCUAUUAUACCACACAAUGGAAUUUUACUUUGGGUUAAAUUCAGUGAUGAGUACUAACCUUGAAGCUUUCCUUGUGCAAAGAAACUAUGUGAAUCAACAAAUGUCUCCUCUGUGGACUAAAUGAAAUGUCUACCAAUGUUUAGUCUGACUGUGGUUGGCUGUGUUUGAAGAAAGGCUGGCAAACUCUUUGUAUGUAUAUGUAAAGAAUGCUUCUUUCAAACUCUUCUUUUAAUAGCCGAGAAGAAAAACGCUAGAAUCAUCCUCUUUUGUUCAAUCAUAUAAACAUAAUACCCCAUUGUAUCUUUAUUACAGAAACGAUUAAGACAAGAAUGUACUCUAACUUGCUAUGACAUUUAAAUCAAAUUCGACAAAAACCAUUUCUCUAUGCAUUCCUUCCCUCCUGGUAACUACAUAUAUAUUCCCAUGCACAUGAAAAUACGUGUGUGUGUGUGUGUGUGUGUGUGUAGUGUGUGUGUGUAUGUGCAUGUAUAUGCAUGUGUGUACGUGUGCAUGUGUGUGCACCUCCAAAGAGUCUGGCUGCUUGUGCUCUCUUCUCUUAUUCGGAGCCAGGAAAGAAUUUGGAUUCUCAGCAGGAGUUCAGCUCAGCUUUGUAAUUACUGGCAGAGGGAGGAGGAGGGAAGAGCGAGAGGCAAAGUUCCUCAAAAGCCAGACCCAUCUAUCUGCCUCUCUUUUUCCAGAGGCAGCCACUAGAAUUGAUCUGUGAUGGCUUUUCCUGUCUUACAGGAACGUCCGGAGAACCGCCGCGUCUUUGCAGGAAGGAGUAAAUGAUAAGGGAGACCGUCCUUCCGUUGAUUUGGUUUGGAUUUCACAGUAAGCAGAAAGUCAACUUAAAAACCAAACCCAGAGUUCCCGUCGUGGCGCAGUGGUUAACGAAUCCGACUAGGAACCAUGAGGUUGCGGGUUCGGUCCCUGCCCUUGCUCAGUGGGUUAACGAUCCGGCGUUGCCGUGAGCUGUGGUGUAGGUUGCAGACGCGGCUCAGAUCCUGUGUUGCUAUGGCUCUGGCUUAGGCUGGUGGCUGCAGCUCCGAUUGGACCCCUAGCCUGGGAACCUCCAUAUGCCGUGGGAGUGGCCCAAAGAAAUAGCAAAAAAAAAAAAAACCAAACCCCUGCAGCUCAUGUGUAACUCAAGAUUCGGAAUUUACAACUAAAAAUAAAAAACUCCAUCAUGGAGUUGCUGCUGUGGCACCGUGGGUUAAGAAUCCAACUGUAGUGGCUCCGGUUACUUUGGAGAUGUGAGUUCCAUCCCCAGGCCAGCGCAGUGGGUUAAGGGAUCCGGCACUGCCACGGUUGCAGCAGCUCAUAUUUGAACCCUGGCCAGGGAGCUUCCAUGUGC